GGGCCGUUGGGCGCGUGCCGCCAGCGCUUCUCCCCCUCCCCGGGCCUCGGGCGCGAGGCGAGAUGAGGCGGGAACGGCGCGGCGCGCGCGGAGGGCGGGCGGCCCCUGAGGGACGGUGGAGCGCGCACGCAGCCUCUGCGAGCGCUGUGGGUGUUACAGAGGCUGUAGAGUGAAGGCGGUGCGAUAAGUUUCAAAACAGCUCCAGACUAGAUGCUGCUCAAGCACUGCAUGAUUCCCUCUGGCCCUGCUGCCUGUUCCUCCAAAGUCUGCUCUUGCACAGCACAUCAUUAGGACAACUGCUUGUCAAAAUGAAUACACUAAACGUUUGCUACAGCUGAAGUUUUCUAAAGAGUUCCUUCCAAAUUAAUCCACUCAGUGACCAUCAUCCCAUCAUCACAAUACACGUCGAGAGCAGAAACUCUUAUCUCUGUCACCUCCAUCGUACAAAAGAAAGCAAGCACAGCCAAAGAUGCUAGCCAAGGUUUUUUGUACUAUCUCACCAAGAGAUACAUCACUUACUUUGAAAAAAAAAUCUGCUAUUGAUAGUUCUCACAACAGCAACAAAAUCAAGAAACAACGCUCAGUCUGCACUGCCAGGCAUGGGAUGAAGCCAUGAGGAACAGAAACCUGCAGAGGAUGAUUCCACAGAGCUGCUCCAAGGGAAGGAACAGCUUUAAGGACUGCAUAUUUAAAACAUCCCUGGUAAGGAUUAGAAAGGUGCUUUUUACAUGCGUGUGUAAAAGACAUGACUGCAGCCUCAGGUGUUUGGGAAUGACAAGCUGCUUUGCUCUGCAACACUGCAGAAAAUUCAACAGUUUUAUUACUUUCUUAUUCUGUAGCAUUGAGUACAGAUUCAACCCCCAAUAAAUGGUACAAAAAUCCUACACGUUAUCUACUCCUACGUACACAAAGACAAAUGGUUCUGAAGAGCUUAACGUCUGAGUGCUAACCGGAUCUCCUCAGGACUGUUUUAUAGAAGAGAGAGGGGACACUUUUGCUGCAUUUCUGACUGCAUGCGAACCGUAACGAAAAUGCAACAGAACAGAGUACCUGUUUUUGUGUGUAUGUUUUCCCACUAAAAUGUAGCACUCUGUGUUCUUUCCCCAGGUCAGACCUCUUCCACUUUUUUUUCCGCCACCCUUUCAAUUGGAUAGGAAACAGGCAGUCUUCUGCUGGAGCUGAUAGGCUCCAAGGACAAAAUGCAACAGUUUCCUAAUCACCUUCCAACCAUAAAUAAUUCUGUGUUCUCUCCUUUCUACGUGAAUUGAUAUUUACACGAAAAUGUAUUAUCCACAGCCAAUCAGUUUGAUGUAGGUGUUGAUUUGCUGUCAUCUAGCACGUUAUGUUGCAAAGUGACUGUGUAGAAAUAAUUGCUGUCAGUGCUAUAGUUUCCUGGAACUUGUGACUAGGAGCAGACCGCUGUGUACAGAGGCCACAGAAAGGCUUCUUGUACAGGCACAGACACCGGCUUUGCAAUCACCGAGCGCUAUGGGCACGGCCCUCAGGAAAAGCACUGUUAAGAUUUACAGCUAAGGUAAUGUCACACAUUUACAGAGCAGCACCACAAAUAACUUGACCGUGUGUUUACAGUAAUUUUAUUUACAAGUUACCAUAUGACACCUGUAGUACUACAGUUUUUUAUAACACCAUUAGCAGUAAAAUAAGUCACAUCUAGAAUAGGAGGCAGCUGAGAAAAAUGUGCACAGAGAAUGCAGAAAAGCUAUUCAGUUAUAAUUAAAGUAGGUAUCGUUCUACACACUUCAAAAGCAAGGAGGAAUAUACAAGUUGAGAAGAGCAAGUUCUUCACCCCGUUAGUUCUACAGUAUUAAAAUUUUUCUAACAGUGACAUCUUGGUACGAUGAACACUACACACUAGCAGUCAAAUGCAAGUGGUGGGAAGAUAACUGUAUUAACUCCUUGUCCCUCUGAGGAAAAACAAAGCUUCCCUCUUUUAAAGGAAAGUUAUCCAGGGCAGAUUUACUUGCAGUGCAGAAACACUAUCAGGGGGUCAGGAAGGACAGAAUUUAAGACUAGAGAGUUCCCAUGCAUUGCAUAUUGCCUGUGCGUUCUUAUCUGGUCUUGAGUUAAGGAGUUGGUGAACAAAACCAGUUGCAGCAUUCCCCAAGUCUUUUUACAGCGCCAUGAUCUAAUAAGGCUGUGGUAGCUUAGCAGAAUCCCAAAAUCAAGCAGAGAAAAAAGCCCUUCUGCUCUCUUAUAAUCCUUGGCUCUAACGAUGCUGGUGUUGAGCCUGGGCCUUUCUCAAGAGGAAAAAUGUGGAGGAGCAAUUCCGGAGAAACUCUCUAGAUCUAGAUGUGUUCUGGUGAUAAGAGUCAGAAGAAAACAAGCUUAUUGCAGCAUAAGAUGCAACUCUUUUCUGCUUCAAAGUACUGCAGCAGCUCCCAGAAAGCAAACAAGUAUUAUGCAGGACUUUUUCCCCCAAAAUACAUCUUUAAUAGCCUGGAACAACUGUCAAUGCACAAAAUCCAUGCUAGCAGCAACCGUAGGAAAGACAAUGGAAAUAAAAGCUGCACAGUAAUAAUUACUUCCACUACUAACUACACACAGGAUAUAUUGCUUUUGGUACAAUGCCAUUUAUUGUUACAAGAAGAAAACCAGUGAUUAAGUUGAGCACACAUGAAUUAUGCAGACCUUUGCCAUGCUGGAAUAACAGCAUAUUAUACUUAGAGAAAUGUCAUCAAGUCAGCUGUAAAAAUGGCUUAACACAGUUCUCCCCAAAUACCAAACUACCCUCAGAAACAAGCCUACGAAUUAAGUUUAGCUACAAAAGAACGUUUAAGAAAUGACCACAGUUUUUUCCUUAAUCCCCACCUUCUUCUGGAGCACUGAUGUAUGCUGCACAUGAGAGCAAACGGAACACGGAGCUACAGUGACAUCAACAACGUUCAUUUCAGCAUUUCUGGAUGUGUCGACCGGCCUGCCCAAAACCGACGGGUUUGUUCCCUCCACGUUUGUGGCAUGCCUAUUCAAAGAGCCUGCAAACGUAAACACGUACCAAAACCAGCAAAACUUUUUAAAAACACAGAACACAUCAAAAAUUCUUCAGUCUAUAAACUUGCAUCUAAGAUGUCCAAACUAUGAGAUAGAAUAUCUGUGAGUUCUAAACACUGCUAGGAAUACAGGAAGAUUUGAUAGUCAAAGGUUUCUCACGUGCUAUUGAGGUUAAAGCCGAGGGGGGAGAAGGCCUGACUUCAAGCCCUUCCCCGGGUUUUCAGCUCACAGGUGGCUGCUAUCAGCAGUUCAGAGGGCUUCAAGCCAAAAUUCUGAAUAUUCAGCAUUUUUGCAUUUGCAGAUUUAAGGCAGAAAAGCAUCUUCAGAACAAGCUGCGUGUCUUGGAUGCUAAGAUCAAAGUAGAAGGUGCAUCAUAAGUCUCUUGAUAAUAACAGAUUUUAUUAUUUUGUUAUUUUUUAAACUCGUGGCAUUCUCUUACAGCUUUGGGUUUGUUUGUUUGUUUGUUUUUUCAUGAAAAGCCUGAAUUUAGAAAUAGUUUUCAGUAGUGCAGAAGAAUGCAUCAUAGCCAGGAAGAAUGAAGUUUUCCAUUGUUAUUUCUGGCUUUUUAUUCAAGGCAUUGGAACAGUAAGGUGGAAUUAACAGAUCGCUACUGUGCAAAACUGCACCUGGUGCAAUCCCAGGCACUGGAACGACCGACUGCAUUAAGGGAACUGCUCUGCCUAUGCAGGUUUUCUCCCCAAAGCCAGCAGCUGCAGUGUAACCAGGGCCCAGCUCUGUGAAGCAUGGCUGUGUCCAUGGCCUCACAGAAUAAUUAGAAAAAUAGAAAUUUCUGAAGAGCAAACAAAUGGAGAGUUGCGAGACCAAAGGGAAGCUACAGCCAUGCAAAAUAAGGAGAACAAAGAAGUGACAUCAAGUCGGUCACAGCAAAGGAUUGGGGAGAAAAAUACCAACAUGGAAUGUAUAAACCCUGAGGAAGGAAAGCAUCACUGGAAGACAGCAACUCAGCAGGAUCAAAGGUCAGCUCAGUCCAAGAAGCAACAGAAAGAGACGGAGAAGCAUUUCAAUCAACCAGCUGGCACAACUGGGAGUACCACACGAACCACAGAACGACUCACAAGAUAUACAGAAGUAUUCAACUCAGUAUUUUUAGAUGAGACAGCAUGCUGGGUUUCCAGCAUUUUCAAGACAUUUCUUCCUCUUUUCUGGGGAAUCAAAAACGCGUAAGGAUUCCUUUUAUCAUCCCUCAUGUGCUAACAAGCCACUCCUGCACCAAGAAAAUGAGCACCUACGGGAUCAUGCAUUGCUCUGCCAGAAUAAUCAACUGGGUGGGAAAGGGAAAGAACUGAAGAACGGGUGCAUGCUGCGAGGAAGAUGUGAGGACAUUUUAGAGAAAUGGCAAGAGGUUUCCAGUAUUUACAAGGUAUUCAAGGAUUUAGAAUCAGAAAAAUUCAAACCAGGGUCUGCUGAAUCUCAGGCUCAAGUUCCCAACAACAACCAAGGACUGCUUUUCACACCACACCUUACCUAAAUGUAUCUCUCCUUUCUGAUCAUUUCAUCUGCUCUCAGAUUGCCUCUCAGAAAUGAACAUACCAUCACCAGAUCGCACACUGUGCUUUCAGCAGGAAGUGCCAGAUCUGCCAGGUUCCAGUGUGAUGGAGCCUCAGCCCUGACAGGGCACUAUGAGCACCGCUCACCUCCUGCAUCUGGCAGCGCCUGAAUGCUGUUCUGCAGAGGAACCAAAGAGCUCUUCUGAAGCACUGACAUGGCAUGUAUUGAUGUGAUGAAGUUUUUAAGUCAUCUACAAUUAUCAAAUGUUAAUUUUUUUCAAGCUUGUCAAGCAUUAUGCAAACAUUACUUAGUAGGAAGUAUAAUGAAACGCACAGAACAGAGAAGUAAGAAUUUUUGUCUGCAGAGAAAAUACUGGGGUUGUAGCUCUGCGAAGCCCAGCAGCAUCAAAUCUACACUGCUCAAAUCAACAUGGCUUAUAUUCAGAAGUUGGUCUUCAAAAGACUCUGUGAGAACACGAGCUCCUCCAGUGCUGGCUAUUCGGCCUCCACAGCACUCUACCUAUCAGAGCCCGUCCCACACAAGCACUAAGCCUGCACACAGACCCCAGAACCCAUCUCUGCAGUCUUUGACUCUGAGGUCUCCCUACCCAUCGCCCUUCAAAGCUCACAGACAGGAAGGAUCCGUGUCCUGUUCUGGUGGAACAAAGCAAAGAAAAGCAAAGCGUUUUCCAACUAAUCUUACUUAAACAAGUGUGACAAAAGUACUGAGUCAAGCAGCAGCUUGUCAAAACCUCUGCUGGAACAAGAUGCAUUUCAGUCAUACUUUGAAGCAACUCACUGAAACACACACUGCAAUACAGUGUACUGGUAGGGGGAACAAAGAAAGACAAAGGCAGCUAUAGUCAAUGAAAGAGUAACAUGCGUAACUGUAUAUAUGACAAAAUUAAACUCUUAAUAUUCUGGAAAAAAAUUGCAUACUGCUGUGAAGACCAGAGAGGGGAUGGAGAGAUGAGCUGUAACGAGCCAGUCAUUAGAGCUGUUACAGACCUGUUAGUUACUGACGAGCACCUGUAGUUUCAGGUCACAUUUUUUAUGUUGUCAUACUAAUUACAGAAGUUUCUAGCUGCCGUGAUCCAAUUAUACCUUUUCUCAGUUCUUUGGCACAGCUGGAUUUCAGACUAAAAAAUAUUCAUAAAAACGCCAUUACAACGAUGAGGAGUGCAUUGUUCCCAGAAGCCACAGAACGUUUCAAACCUCAGCCUGAGAAGAACCUUUUUUGUAUCAAAAUGAAAACAUUUGGUCUCUAAGGACUGCCCAAGUAAUUCUUUGCAAGAUUUCCUGCGAAGUGGGCUACAGCUAUUUUAACAUUGACUGAGCCAAAACCAUCUCUGUGCCCAACAGUUCACAGUGUUGAAUUCAUAGCAAAGAUAUAACACUUCUGCUCGUCUAUAAGCUUCCCCUGCAAUGUUUUGGAUGGCUCUAAUUUCACACUGGUAUACUCAUACACUGAAACAGAAACUUGUGUAUUCAAAAACAUGAAUGUAGGCUAUCUGCUACUGCUCCAUUCAGGGGACUCAUUUUUAGACACUAAUGUAAUAUGCAUCAGUGUACUCGUGGUUUAUAAAACAGCAGGUCAUUUUAAAGUAGAACUUCAGUCAUUCUAUACAUGCACAGUACUAUGCUGAUUUGGUAAUACAGGGACACAAUUUAAUGAUUUUCUUUGCAUUUGUUUUUACAAGAUUCAGAUGCCGAAAACGAAACAGAACAUUAAGUUACCUGAUUUAAAGAAGAAAACCACAUACGUUUACAACAGUAAAAGAAUAAGACAAAAUAUAAACCUUUGCUACUUACAACUGAUCUAUACAGAUUAACCAAAUCACAGAUCUGUCACAAUAUAAAUGUUUAAUUGUUACAAUGAAUAAGAACAUACAGAAAAUGAAGUUUUAAA